GACGAACGCUGGCGGCGUGCCUAAUACAUGCAAGUUGAGCGAUGAAGAUUGGUGCUUGCACCAAUUUGAAGAGCAGCGAACGGGUGAGUAACGCGUGGGGAAUCUGCCUUUGAGCGGGGGACAACAUUUGGAAACGAAUGCUAAUACCGCAUAAUAACUUUAAACAUAAGUUUUAAGUUUGAAAGAUGCAAUUGCAUCACUCAAAGAUGAUCCCGCGUUGUAUUAGCUAGUUGGUGAGGUAAAGGCUCACCAAGGCGAUGAUACAUAGCCGACCUGAGAGGGUGAUCGGCCGCAUUGGGACUGAGACACGGCCCAAACUCCUACGGGAGGCAGCAGUAGGGAAUCUUCGGCAAUGGACGAAAGUCUGACCGAGCAACGCCGCGUGAGUGAAGAAGGUUUUCGGAUCGUAAAACUCUGUUGGUAGAGAAGAACGUUGGUGAGAGUGGAAAGCUCAUCAAGUGACGGUAACUACCCAGAAAGGGACGGCUAACUACGUG
rnacentral:rRNA from 1 species